ACGGAAAGUCUUGGUCCUGAACCUAUCACUAUUUUUUCCCAAAACUAUACAUGCAAGUCUCAACAAAACGGUGAGUAACCCACCAAAUCAGCAAAGAACAAAAGGAGUAAGAUAAGACCCGGGCCCGCCCCAUCAAAAAUAAAGGAACCCCCCCACACCUACACAGGAAUUCAGCAGUAAUUAACAUUAGGCCAUAAGCGAAAGCUUGACCUAGCUAUAGGAAAGAAAGCCGGUAAAACUCGUGCCAGCUACCGCGGUUAUACGAGAGGCUUAAAAUAGUGCAUUUCGGCGAAAACAUGGCCAGAGCACAUCAAAUAGGCCUAAGGAAAAAGGAAAAGCAAGCCGUCCAACGCCAAGAACAAACGAACCCCUUCCCCUUGCCCCAACGACCCCUUAAACCAUAAAAGCCGAGGAACAAACUAGGAUUAGAGACCCUACUAUGCUCGGCCGUGAAAGGCUUAGCCCGCCCGACAAAUACGAGCGAAAGCUUAAAACUCAAAGGACUUGACGGUGCCCCACAUCAACCUAGAGGAGCCUGUCCUAUAAUCGACACCCCACGUUAAAACCUCACCACCCCUAGCCAAUCAGCCUAUAUACCGCCGUCGUCAGCCCACCCUGCAAAAGAACAAAAGUGAGCAAAAUAGUUCACUACACUAAAACGACAGGUCAAAGCGUAGUACAUGGGGUGGGCUGAGAUGGGCUACAUUUUCUAAAACAGACCACACCAAAAAGCGCAUGAAAAACGCCAAACAGGAGGAUUUAGUAGUAAGACGGAGUAGAAAGCCCGCCUGAACACAGCACUGGGGCACGCACACACCGCCCGUCACCCCCCUCAACCCGCAGCUUAUGUUUCAUAAAAUCAAUGCAAUACUAAGAUGGGGAAAGUCGUAACAAGGUGAGCGUACUGGAAAGUGCGCUCGUGCAC
rnacentral:ncRNA from 1 species